GGGAAAGUGGCUCAGUGGUAGAGUGCUUGCCUUGCAUGCAUGAGGCCCUGGGUUC
rfam:Dipodomys ordii contig_30229, whole genome shotgun sequence.